AGAGUUUGAUCCUGGCUCAGGAUGAACGCUAGCUACAGGCUUAACACAUGCAAGUCGAGGGGCAGCAUGGGGUUUGCUUGCAAACCCCGAUGGCGACCGGCGCACGGGUGAGUAACGCGUAUCCAACCUGCCCCUGUCCUCGGGAUAGCCCGCCGAAAGGCGGAUUAAUACCGGACGCUGUCACAUGAUGGCAUCAGAGCGUGACGAAAGGAUUUUUUCCGGACAGGGAUGGGGAUGCGUCCGAUUAGGCAGGCGGCGGGGCGACGGCCCACCGCGCCGACGAUCGGUAGGGGUUCUGAGAGGAAGGUCCCCCACAUUGGAACUGAGACACGGUCCAAACUCCUACGGGAGGCAGCAGUGAGGAAUAUUGGUCAAUGGGCGAGAGCCUGAACCAGCCAAGUAGCGUGAGGGACGACGGCCCUACGGGUUGUAAACCUCUUUUUCGCGGGGAUAAAGUGCGCCACGCGUGGCGUUUUGCAGGUACCGCGUGAAUAAGGACCGGCUAAUUCCGUGCCAGCAGCCGCGGUAAUACGGAAGGUCCGGGCGUUAUCCGGAUUUAUUGGGUUUAAAGGGAGCGUAGGCGGCAUGUUAAGCGUGCUGUGAAAUGCGUCGGCUCAACCGCCGCAGUGCAGCGCGAACUGGCUUGCUUGAGUUCGCUGAAGGAAGGCGGAAUUCGUGGUGUAGCGGUGAAAUGCUUAGAUAUCACGAAGAACCCCGAUUGCAAAGGCAGCUUUCCGUAGCGUUACUGACGCUGAAGCUCGAAGGUGCGGGUAUCGAACAGGAUUAGAUACCCUGGUAGUCCGCACGGUAAAACGAUGGAUGCCCGCUGUCGGCCUUUUGGUCGGUGGGCCAAGCGAAAGCGUUAAGC
rnacentral:rRNA from 1 species